rnacentral:rRNA from 1 species
AUUGAACGCUGGCGGCAUGCCUUACACAUGCAAGUCGAACGGCAGCACGGAGCUUGCUCUGGUGGCGAGUGGCGAACGGGUGAGUAAUAUAUCGGAACGUACCCUGGAGUGGGGGAUAACGUAGCGAAAGUUACGCUAAUACCGCAUACGAUCUAGGGAUGAAAGUGGGGGAUCGCAAGACCUCAUGCUCGUGGAGCGGCCGAUAUCUGAUUAGCUAGUUGGUAGGGUAAAAGCCUACCAAGGCAUCGAUCAGUAGCUGGUCUGAGAGGACGACCAGCCACACUGGAACUGAGACACGGUCCAGACUCCUACGGGAGGCAGCAGUGGGGAAUUUUGGACAAUGGGCGAAAGCCUGAUCCAGCAAUGCCGCGUGAGUGAAGAAGGCCUUCGGGUUGUAAAGCUCUUUUGUCAGGGAAGAAACGGUGAGAGCUAAUAUCUCUUGCUAAUGACGGUACCUGAAGAAUAAGCACCGGCUAACUACGUGCCAGCAGCCGCGGUAAUACGUAGGGUGCAAGCGUUAAUCGGAAUUACUGGGCGUAAAGCGUGCGCAGGCGGUUUUGUAAGUCUGAUGUGAAAUCCCCGGGCUCAACCUGGGAAUUGCAUUGGAGACUGCAAGGCUAGAAUCUGGCAGAGGGGGGUAGAAUUCCACGUGUAGCAGUGAAAUGCGUAGAUAUGUGGAGGAACACCGAUGGCGAAGGCAGCCCCCUGGGUCAAGAUUGACGCUCAUGCACGAAAGCGUGGGGAGCAAACAGGAUUAGAUACCCUGGUAGUCCACGCCCUAAACGAUGUCUACUAGUUGUCGGGUCUUAAUUGACUUGGUAACGCAGCUAACGCGUGAAGUAGACCGCCUGGGGAGUACGGUCGCAAGAUUAAAACUCAAAGGAAUUGACGGGGACCCGCACAAGCGGUGGAUGAUGUGGAUUAAUUCGAUGCAACGCGAAAAACCUUACCUACCCUUGACAUGGCUGGAAUCCUCGAGAGAUUGAGGAGUGCUCGAAAGAGAACCAGUACACAGGUGCUGCAUGGCUGUCGUCAGCUCGUGUCGUGAGAUGUUGGGUUAAGUCCCGCAACGAGCGCAACCCUUGUCAUUAGUUGCUACGAAAGGGCACUCUAAUGAGACUGCCGGUGACAAACCGGAGGAAGGUGGGGAUGACGUCAAGUCCUCAUGGCCCUUAUGGGUAGGGCUUCACACGUCAUACAAUGGUACAUACAGAGCGCCGCCAACCCGCGAGGGGGAGCUAAUCGCAGAAAGUGUAUCGUAGUCCGGAUUGUAGUCUGCAACUCGACUGCAUGAAGUUGGAAUCGCUAGUAAUCGCGGAUCAGCAUGUCGCGGUGAAUACGUUCCCGGGUCU